rnacentral:rRNA from 1 species
UACGUAGGGCGCAAGCGUUGUCCGGAAUUAUUGGGCGUAAAGAGCUCGUAGGUGGCGUGUCGCGUCUGCCGUGAAAGCCCAUGGCUUAACUGUGGGUCUGCGGUGGAUACGGGCAGGCUGGAGGCUGGUAGGGGCAAGCGGAAUUCCUGGUGUAGCGGUGAAAUGCGCAGAUAUCAGGAGGAACACCAAUAGCGAAGGCAGCUCGCUGGGACGGUAUUGACGCUAAGGCGCGAAAGCGUGGGGAGCAAACAGG